rnacentral:rRNA from 1 species
UACGUAGGGGGCGAGCGUUGUCCGGAUUUACUGGGCGUAAAGCGCGUGUAGGCGGCGGCUUAAGUCGGGUGUGAAAGCCCGGGGCUCAACCCCGGGAUGCCGCUCGAGACUGGGUCGCUUGAGGACGGAAGAGGGGCGUGGAAUUCCUGGCGUAGCGGUGAAAUGCGUAGAGAUGUGGAGGAACACCGAUGGCGAAGGCAGCCCCCUGGGUUAACACUGACGCUCAUGCACGAAAGCGUGGGGAGCAAACAGG